rnacentral:rRNA from 1 species
GAUGAACGCUGGCGGCGUGCCUAAUACAUGCAAGUCGAGCGAACGGACGAGAAGCUUGCUUCUCUGAUGUUAGCGGCGGACGGGUGAGUAACACGUGGAUAACCUACCUAUAAGACUGGGAUAACUUCGGGAAACCGUAGCUAAUACCGGAUAAUAUUUUGAACCGCAUGGUUCAAAAGUGAAAGACGGUCUUGCUGUCACUUAUAGAUGGAUCCGCGCUGCAUUAGCUAGUUGGUAAGGUAACGGCUUACCAAGGCAACGAUGCAUAGCCGACCUGAGAGGGUGAUCGGCCACACUGGAACUGAGACACGGUCCAGACUCCUACGGGAGGCAGCAGUAGGGAAUCUUCCGCAAUGGGCGAAAGCCUGACGGAGCAACGCCGCGUGAGUGAUGAAGGUCUUCGGAUCGUAAAACUCUGUAUUAGGGAAGAACAUAUGUGUAAGUAACUGUGCACAUCUUGACGGUACCUAAUCAGAAAGCCACGGCUAACUACGUG